rnacentral:rRNA from 1 species
UACGGAAGAUGCGAGCGUUAUCCGGAUUUAUUGGGUUUAAAGGGAGCGUAGGCGGGUCUUUAAGCCUGCGGUAAAAUGUCGAUGCUCAACAUCGGCCUGCCGUGGGAACUGGGGACCUUGAAUGUGCACAAGGUGGAUGGAAUUCGUGGUGUAGCGGUGAAAUGCUUAGAUAUCACGAAGAACUCCGAUUGCGAAGGCAGUCCACUGGGGCAUGAUUGACGCUGAGGCUCGAAAGCGCGGGAAUCAAACA